AUGAACGCUAGCGACAGGCUUAACACAUGCAAGUCGAGGGGCAGCGGGGGUAGCAAUACCCGCCGGCGACCGGCGCACGGGUGAGUAACGCGUAUGCAACUUACCUAUCAGAGGGGGAUAACCCGGCGAAAGUCGGACUAAUACCGCAUGAAGCAGGGGCCCCGCAUGGGGAUAUUUGCUAAAGAUUCAUCGCUGAUAGAUAGGCAUGCGUUCCAUUAGGCAGUUGGCGGGGUAACGGCCCACCAAACCGACGAUGGAUAGGGGUUCUGAGAGGAAGGUCCCCCACAUUGGUACUGAGACACGGACCAAACUCCUACGGGAGGCAGCAGUGAGGAAUAUUGGUCAAUGGGCGUAAGCCUGAACCAGCCAAGUCGCGUGAGGGAUGAAGGUUCUAUGGAUCGUAAACCUCUUUUAUAAGGGAAUAAAGUGCGGGACGUGUCCCGUUUUGUAUGUACCUUAUGAAUAAGGAUCGGCUAACUCCGUGCCAGCAGCCGCGGUAAUACGGAGGAUCCGAGCGUUAUCCGGAUUUAUUGGGUUUAAAGGGUGCGUAGGCGGCCUUUUAAGUCAGCGGUGAAAGUCUGUGGCUCAACCAUAGAAUUGCCGUUGAAACUGGGGGGCUUGAGUAUGUUUGAGGCAGGCGGAAUGCGUGGUGUAGCGGUGAAAUGCUUAGAUAUCACGCAGAACCCCGAUCGCGAAGGCAGCCUGCCAAGCCAUGACUGACGCUGAUGCACGAAAGCGUGGGGAUCAAACAGGAUUAGAUACCCUAGUAGUCCACGCAGUAAACGAUGAUCACUAGCUGUUUGCGAUACAGUGUAAGCGGCACAGCGAAAGCGUUAAGUGAUCCACCUGGGGAGUACGCCGGCAACGGUGAAACUCAAAGGAAUUGACGGGGGCCCGCACAAGCGGAGGAACAUGUGGUUUAAUUCGAUGAUACGCGAGGAACCUUACCCGGGUUUGAACGCAUUCGGACCGAGGUGGAAACACCUUUUCUAGCAAUAGCCGUUUGCGAGGUGCUGCAUGGUUGUCGUCAGCUCGUGCCGUGAGGUGUCGGCUUAAGUGCCAUAACGAGCGCAACCCUUGCCACUAGUUACUAACAGGUGAUGCUGAGGACUCUGGUGGGACUGCCAGCGUAAGCUGCGAGGAAGGCGGGGAUGACGUCAAAUCAGCACGGCCCUUACAUCCGGGGCGACACACGUGUUACAAUGGCGUGGACAAAGGGAAGCCACCUGGCGACAGGGAGCGAAUCCCCAAACCACGUCUCAGUUCGGAUCGGAGUCUGCAACCCGACUCCGUGAAGCUGGAUUCGCUAGUAAUCGCGCAUCAGCCAUGGCGCGGUGAAUACGUUCCCGGGCCUUGUACACACCGCCCGUCAAGCCAUGGGAGCCGGGGGUACCUGAAGUCCGUAACCGCGAGGAUCGGCCUAGGGUAAAACUGGUGACUGGGGCU
rnacentral:rRNA from 1 species